rnacentral:lncRNA from 1 species
ACAAGUCACUCGUGCACCAUCCCAUUUUCGUAUUGAUUCCAGUGCUUUUAGCACUCAUUUCAUAAAUAAAAACCCUCUAGAGCACAGUCACAUCCCAAACAGUUCACUCAGAAGCUCAGUUUUGACACCAUCAAAGUAAAUUCAGUAUGUAGAUAUUGCAAGAAACCAGGUCAUUUGAUUGAUAAAUGCUACAAGCUGCAUGGGUUUCCACCAGACUUCAAGUUCACCAGAAACAAGAGAACUGCUGCAAAUGUUGAGGUGCAAGGGUGUGUAAAUUCUGCUGAUUCCUCAAGCAUGGGUGAGGGUAAUCAGGGGUAUUCUGCUUCAGAUUCUGUUAUUCCUGGGUUAACAAAGGAACAAUAUUCACAGCUCAUGGUGCUCCUUCAACAGACACAAGUCUCAGAAUCUCAACAUCAAUCAAGUCUUAUGGCAUCUGCAAACGUUGCUGGUACACUCUCUUCUUCUCUCAGUCCUCUACAAAAUGUGUCUUAUGGAGCUUGCAUGUUAACUAGAGUUAGUGCAUGCAUUUGGAUUAUAGAUUCUGGUGCCUCUGCAAACUUUGCUGGUACACUCUCUUCUUCUCUCAGUCCUCUACAAAAUGUGUCUUAUGGAGCUUGCAUGUUAACUAGAGUUAGUGCAUGCAUUUGGAUUAUAGAUUUCGGUGCCACUGACCACAUGACUUCCAAUAAAACUCUUUUGUUUGAUAUCAAACCAUUAGUUGCACCAUACUUAGUUACCUUACCUAAUGGUUACAAAGUUAAGGUAAC